rnacentral:rRNA from 1 species
UACAGAGGUGCCGAGCGUUAGGCGGAAUCACUGGGCUUAAAGCGUGUGUAGGCGGAUUCCUAAGUACCUUGUGAAAUCCCAUGGCUCAACCAUGGAACUGCUUGGUAUACUGGGUGUCUUGAGCCAGCUAGGGGCUACCGGAACAAAUGGUGGAGCGGUGAAAUGCGUAGAUAUCAUUUGGAACGCCAAUGGUGAAAACAGGUAGCUGGGGCUGUGCUGACGCUGAGACACGAAAGUCAGGGGAGCGAACGGG